ensembl:lncRNA
GUUCCCAGGCUAGGGGUCCAAUUGGAGCUGUAGCCGCCAGCCUAUGCCAGAGCCACAGCAACACAGGAUCCUAAACCAACUGGGCGAGGCCAGGGAUGGAACCUGCGUCCUCAUGGAUGCUAGUCGGGUCCGUUAACCUCUGAGCCACGACGGGAACUCCCUGGUUGCAACUUUUAAAAAAGCGGUCAGGAAGGGCCUGGACAGAAAGUCACAUUGAAGUUUUCAGGAAGCGAGGGCAUGCUUUAAAUGUGGGUUAAGCACUGGAGAUGCAGACAUGGGCAGGACAGGCCCCGUACGGUCCCCUCCUCCUGGAGCUGACAUCUCCUGGCAGCUCCUUGGGCCCGUGUUCACAUUUUGAGGCAAAUCAGAGGCUGAGGAAUGGAGCCUGACGGAAUGAGCCGGGGAGCCUCCCCCCCCCACCCCCACCCCAGACAAGUCAUCUGCCUUCUCCGCAGAAUGGCUUUGCGUUUCCUUGCGUUUGGCCACAUCCAGUCCAUCACUUCCCUGGAGAGAGGUUCAUGUUGAAUUGCAGAAGGGGACUGGAGCCCCCAGAUUGGGGGUGGGGGUCGGGGGUGUGUGUGCAUGCUUUCUGGCUUCCCACCCCAUCCUCCUGGGUGGUGGGGGAGCCUGAGUGUGGUGGGAGGGCCUCCCUGGAUUGGGGGACUGGCCUGUGGCUCCAUAGGAUGGACAUGGGGGCUGGGGGGGGGGCACCUGGCCUGGACCCAGUCUGGGAAGGUGAGGUCAGGCUCUGGCUGCCAACCCCAGGUGGUCCCAUCCAGCCUCCUGCUGGCGAGCCCCUUUGUCCUGGGAGAGGCUGGAGCUGAGCAGACGGUCUGCAGUCAGGUUGGGGUUCAGAUUGGGAUUCGGACUCUUACUGCUCGGACUUGAUAGCUCUCAGAAUUAGCCAUUUACAAGUAAUGGUAAGAAUGACGUGAGACGAUGCUUGUGAAGCGCUUCGACCGGCACGAAUGGCCCCAGCUCCCUCUCAGUCCCUUUUAUUACCUAACAACAGCAGUGACAGCAGUUUCUUGCUGUCCGCCCUCCUGGUCCCACCUCCGUGGUGGAGGUGCCCUUUCAGCCAAGGUUUGGUUGCUAAGCUGCUGGCCAGGGGCUGCCUUGUGCCUCUGGGAGGUUGGGUUUCCUAGGGCAACUCGGGUGCUUGCAAAGCAGUCGUGGGCAUCUGAGCUGGCACCGACAGAUGCUGGAGGGGUCAGCAGCCGGCCCCACUGCUCAGAGCCCGCUCCCCUAGGUGGGCGGUGCCAGGGCGCACUCACACCCGGCCCAGAGGCCACAGCCACACAAGCCUCACACAGGAUGUCGGGGAAGGGAGGGCAGCCUUCCUCUGUGCUCUGUGGCGAGCACGGAGCCUGAGCUGAGCAGAGAGGGGAGGAGAGCUUGGGACACCACCUCCUGCUGGGUGGGCUCCUAGCUCGUGAACACAGGAAGGUGUGGCUCCAGGGGCCUUCUUUCCCUCGGACCUGAGCUGUCCAGAGGCUGCUUCCAGAUGUAGCAUCUCCCAGCAGGUCAAUGGAAACACCCAGGCUGUAGAGGGACUUUCUUGGGGCUGGCCCAUCCCACAUCUCACACCCCGGGACAGGCUGGUGCAGCUCGGGCAAGCCUUGGUCUCGGAGCUAGAUGAGCCCAGGCCCCCCAGACUGUGCCACCGUGGGACAAACUGGCUGUUCUCAGAACCCCCUUCUUCCUGCGACACCAUCAGACCUGCUGCUCAGAGUGGGGAGCCCAAGACAAGCCCCCCUCUGUAUUUGCUCCUUCUCUGCCUCCACUGGUCCCUGCUGCACUCCUGAGAUGCAGAGGUGGGGCCAGGGGCAGGGUGCUUCCUCCGCCACCUCCCGGUCUGAGCGGAGCUUGGGAAGCAUAGACAGACUGCGAAGUUGCUGGCCUGUUGCCUAGGGGGCAGUUCUCCAAUUUUUUUUUCCAGGGUGGGCCUUGGGGUGCAGAGAGGCCAAUUCUAGGCCCCACGAUGUUUCGCUGGCUGGCAACAGUGUUGGAUGAUUGGACUAGUGAGAGGAAAGGAAGGUGCCAGGUCAGCUGCCCAUGGGGGAUGCUCUGGCCUGCUCCACGCACUUGGCACAGGCCAGUGGGGAAGAUGAGUGAGAAUCAGCCACAGGUCAGCAGCCCGAUGCCUUAAACCCUGACCAGAGAACAGGGCAGAGCAGAGAGGGUGGCUCAGAGGUAGGUCUGGUCACAGACUGAGGGCGGGAUGGACAGGAAGGGAGGCCAAGGCCGUGCUCUAGCCAAGGGGGCGCCCCCAGCGCAGGACCCUCGGAGCUCCUUCUUGGCCCUUCACCUCAGGCCCUUCUUGGCAUCAGACUGGGAAGGGGGCCUGCACUCGUCUCUUCUCCCCCAUCCCUCACGGUGGAAGCCGCGUUGAAGUGCGCAGCCCCCGAGAGCUCGCUAACCCCCCUCGAAGGCCUUCCUGUUGAAGCUCACAGCACCCCCCCCAACUGGUCACAGCCUGCAAAGUAGUAACAUCCUUUAACCCCGGGUCCCCGCAGCCUGAGCACCUCUGGUCACGCAGCUGGUUCCACCCACCUGUCUGCUCCCGGCCUCUGCACCCACUUGGGGUCCAUGGCGGUGGGGGAGGGGGAGCAGGCACCCUCCCCCGACAGGACUGAGCACCUGCUGUGAGCCCAGGGCCACCCUCAUGCCUUCGCCCCUUCUCCCCUGUGAUCCUCUUAUCCACCCUGGCUGGGAGGCAGAU